UUUUAAUAGAAAUAAUUAUUAAUAUAACCUGCUCAAUGAAUUUUAAAUAGCCGCAAUUUGUGCUAAGGUAGCAUAAUCAUUUGUCUUUUAAUUUAAGACUAGAACGAAAGGUUAAACAUUUUAAUUCCUAUAUAUUUAAAAAAAUUUAAAUUAUUUUAAAUAUAAAAAAAUAUUUAUAAAAUAAAAAGACAACAAGACCCUAUUAAACUUUACUUUAGUUAAACUGGGGUAGUUAAUUAAAUAAAAUUUUAAUUUAAAUUUAAAUUAAAUAGACCCAAUAAAAUUGAUUACUUGAACAAGUUACUAUAGGGAUAACAGCGUAAUAAUUUUUUAAAGACCUUAUAAAAAAAAUUGAUUGCGACCUCGAUGUUGAAUAAUAUUCUAUUUUAUGCAAAAAUAAAAUAAGAAAGUCUGUUCGACUUUUAAAUAAUUACA
rnacentral:rRNA from 1 species